AAUUUCAAUCGCUGGUUCCAAUCGGAAACUGGCUUCAUUCAAUUAUUUUUAAAAAAUAUAUUUAUAUUAGUUGAUUUUAUUCCUUUUAUCUUUUUUUAUUUAGAAAUUAAAUAAAUUAUGUAUUAUGAAUCUAGAUCUUAUAAAUUUGUAUAUUCUUGUAUAAAAUACUUGUACUAUUGUAGUUUUAAAAAAUCUCGAAUGGGAGUUGAAUCAGAAUUACAGCCGAAACCGCUUUGAAUUGUCGAACCAGAAUUGAUUUGAACCAUGAAGCAUGAAGACCCGUGGUUCCGGCCUGAAAUGGAUCGGAAAUAGCCCAUUGCCAAGUCUAGCUGCAGGCCCUUCCCCAUUUUUGACCCCAAAGUAAAAGAAAAAGGGGGAAUGCUCACAUAUAAUAGAAGUUAACUAAAUUCUCAUAGAACAUGUUAAGGCUGUCAAUCAUGUGAUGAAAAUUUUCACAACUAGAGUUUGCUUUUAGAGUGCUACUUCUCUUGAGUUUCAUCUCUAGUAAAAUUGUUAGCAGAAGUUUUGAGCCUAAAGCUCAUAUUUAAAUCUUGUGUAUUUCUUAUUAUAAGUGUUAACACCUCUUCAUAGCUUGUAGUUCAGUGAGGAAUGUUUUGUUCCAUAAGAUGGCUUAUGUUUCAUUUUUAUUUUGUAAUUAACAAAUGUUUUGAGAUGUUUACUAUGUUGAGAUAUUUUGGGUGCAAUGUUGUAUAGUUGUAUAUGUGUUAGGACCUAUCAUCAUCACCACCACCAUCAUCCUCAUCAUCAUCCUCAUCAUCAUCAUAUGUGUCUGUGUGUGUGAAUCAUGACACAUGCCUUAUUGAGUAAAAAAGAAAUCCUAGGUGAAUGAACUUGUCUUUUGCGAUUUCUAUUGAAAUCCUAGGUGCGUAAGAAAACUCAAAGUGGGCAAAGGAUACAUAUGGUUGUGAAUGACAUUAAAAAGAGUAAAAGCACUAUUGGCACAAAAUAUGGGUUACCUUCUAGUAAAAUUUUACCAAAACUAUCGGAAAGGAAGGGGAAGGCCUUUGAAAGAGAGGAAGUUGGUGCUAGAGGCAAUAAAUUGGGUGGCAGACUUGUAAGGAAUCAUGCCCAAAUUGAUAAAAACACUUACAAUGAAAUUGUGCAAAAAAAAAGAUUUUCAAGUGGAAGCAAUCAGGCUUUCCUUGAUGAUAGUGAUGAUGAUUUGGAAAUUGAAAGAGCUGCCUUCAAAAGUUUUGAGGAACAUAAGGAUGUUAGUAUCAGGCCACGAGCUUCAAGGAUGGAGAUGGAGGAGAGAAUCCAAAAGCUUGCAAAGUGGUAAUCAAUCUUCCUUAUCUUUAUCCUUAUAGUUUAGCUGUCUUGGAUACUUGCUUAUUUCAUUAUAAAUAUUCAUUUAUGCUUGCAUAUAGAUUUGUAGGUGGAUAAACCUGUUAUGCAUCUAUUAUUGUUUGUAAUUUAUCAGUCAUUGUAUGGGAGAGCAAAAGAGGAUGCCUUGGUGUAAUAUUGAAUCACUCCAUGUGUAACCUAGAGGUCAUAGUUUCGAACUACAGAAAUAGCCUUUUUGUAAAGAAGGGAUUACUACAUAUAUCAACCCUCCUUAGAGCCCACAGUGGUGUGAUAGCCUUAGCCCUAUAAGUCUUGCAUGACAUUCCUUGGCAUUAGAAUUAUGAGGCUAUCAAGUGUUUAUUGUGGGGUAGGGUGCCAGGCAGACUUAGCCACAGUCUGUUUCAAACUGCUAAAUUUGGAUCAGGCCUAACUCACGCUAAAACUAGCUCAAGGUAGGAUUGUUGAUGGCCAUAUAAGGGUAGAUUAUCCUCCUUCCAAACUGACGUGUGAUUCAAACCGAUGUGAGAUUCAAUACACCUCACUCGCGUCCAGAACCAUGGAGUAUGACACAUUCACGAAAGGUUCAACAUCGGUGAGAGACUUUGAUAGCAUAUUAAAUAUGGACCAAACCUAACUCACCUCAGAACCUAGCCUCUUUAGCCCAUAUAAGGGAUACAUUAAACUAAUGUGGGAUUCAAUACGCACCUCACAUCCAGGACCACACUGAAGUGUGAUACAUUCAUGGGAGGCCCAACAUUAGGGAAGGCUACAUAUUAAAUUUGGGUCAGACUCUUUUAUAUCAAGGGAGGAUUGUCCAUGGCCCAUUAAGGGGCACAUUACCCUUUCCCAAACCGACAUGGGAUUCAACACAAACUAUGAAGCGGAUCAGAGUCAAAUGAUUCUAGUUCAUGAAUGGGACAGGAACUGCUUUAAGGAGCCAAUUAGGAGUCUCCCCUCCUUGAACUGGGAUUAGAAUUGCGCCCGGAGUAGGCUAAUUUCAAUCGCUGGUUCCAAUCCGAAACUGGCUUCUUUCAAUUAUUUUAAAAAAAUAUAUUUAUAUUAGUUGAUUUUGUUACUUUUAUCUUUUUUUAUUUAGAAAUUAAAUAAAUGAUGUAUUAUGAAUCUAGAUCUUAUAAAUUUAUAUAUUCUUGUAUAAAAUACUUGUACUAUUGUAGUUUUAAAAAAUCUCGAAUGGGAGUUGAAUCAGAAUUACAGCCGAAACCGCCUUGAAUUGUCGAACCAGAACUGAUUUGGACCAUGAAGCAUGAAG
rnacentral:lncRNA from 1 species